UACGAAGGGGGCUAGCGUUGUUCGGAAUCACUGGGCGUAAAGGCGCGUAGGCGGCUUUAUAAGUCGGGGGUGAAAGCCUGUGGCUCAACCACAGAAUUGCCUUCGAUACUGUAGAGCUUGAGACCGGAAGAGGUAAGUGGAACUGCGAGUGUAGAGGUGAAAUUCGUAGAUAUUCGCAAGAACACCAGUGGCGAAGGCGGCUUACUGGUCCGGUACUGACGCUGAGGUGCGAAAGCGUGGGGAGC
rnacentral:rRNA from 1 species